AGGUGCUUGCACCGGGUGGAUGAUUGGCGAACGGGUGAGUAAUACGUGAGUGACCUGCCUUUGACUCUGGGAUAAGCCUGGGAAACUGGGUCUAAUACCGGAUGCGACUACUGCCCGCAUGGGCUGGUGGUGGAAAGGGUUAUGUACUGGUCUUAGAUGGGCUCACGGCCUAUCAGCUGGUUGGUGGGGUAAUGGCCUACCAAGGCGACGACGGGUAGCCGGCCUGAAGGGUGACCGCCACACUGGGACUGAACACGGCCCAGACUCCUACGGGAGGCAGCAGUGGGGAAUAUUGCACAAUGGGCGCAAGCCUGAUGCAGCGACGCCGCGUGAGGGAUGACGGCCUUCGGGUUGUAAACCUCUUUCAGCAGGGAAGAAGCGGAAGUGACGGUACCUGCAGAAGAAGCGCCGGCUAACUACGUGCCAGCAGCCGCGGUAAUACGUAGGGCGCAAGCGUUGUCCGGAAUUUGUGCGUAAUGAGCUCGUAGGCGGCUUGUCGCGUCUGCUGUGAAAAGCCCGGGGCUUAACUCCGGGUGUGCAGUGGGUACGGGCAGGGCUAGAGUGCAGUAGGGGUAACUGGAAUUCCUGAGCGGGAAAUGCGCAGAUAUCAGGAGGAACACCAUGGCUGAAGGCAGGUUACUGGGCCUG
rnacentral:rRNA from 1 species